UAAAUCUCAUGCCACUCUCAGU
rnacentral:siRNA from 1 species